UACAGAGGUCUCAAGCGUUGGUCGGAUUCAUUGGGCGUAAAGGGUGCGUAGGUGGCGCUGUAAGUCGGGUGUGAAAUUUCGGAGCUUAACUCCGAAACUGCAUUCGAUACUGCGGUGCUUGAGGACUGGAGAGGAGACUGGAAUUCAUGGUGUAGCAGUGAAAUGCGUAGAGAUCAUGAGGAAGACCAGUGGCGAAGGCGGGUCUCUGGACAGUUCCUGACACUGAGGCACGAAGGCCAGGGGAGCAAACGGG
rnacentral:rRNA from 1 species